UGUCGUCAGCUCGUGUUGUGAAAUGUUGGGUUAAGUCCCGCAACGAGCGCAACCCUUAUCCUUUGUUGCCAGCGGUCCGGCCGGGAACUCAAAGGAGACUGCCAGUGAUAAACUGGAGGAAGGUGGGGAUGACGUCAAGUCAUCAUGGCCCUUACGACCAGGGCUACACACGUGCUACAAUGGCGCAUACAAAGAGAAGCGACCUCGCGAGAGCAAGCGGACCUCAUAAAGUGCGUCGUAGUCCGGAUUGGAGUCUGCAACUCGACUCCAUGAAGUCGGAAUCGCUAGUAAUCGUGGAUCAGAAUGCCACGGUGAAUACGUUCCCGGGCCUUGUACACACCGCCCGUCACACCAUGGGAGUGGGUUGCAAAAGAAGUAGGUAGCUUAACCUUCGGGAGGGCGCUUACCACUUUGUGAUUCAUGACUGGGGUGAAGUCGUAACAAGGUAACCGUAGGGGAACCUGCGGUUGGAUCACCUCCUUACCUUAAAGAAG
rnacentral:rRNA from 1 species